GAUGAACGCUGGCGGCGUGCUUAACACAUGCAAGUCGAACGGACGUACUAGCAUCUUUCUUCGGUGGUGGUGGCAGCGGACGAGUGAGUAAUAAGAGGAUAGCCACCCUAUACUCAUUGCUGAACAACGGCAAGCCAGAGUUGAUACUGCAGGAUGUUUUGAACUGCUCGGUUCAGUGGGGAUAGAAGGUCUUGAUGUCACUUGGAGGUGUUGCCGCGCGGCAUUAGCUAGUUCGUAAGGUAACGGCUUACGAUGGCGACGAUGUAUGGCCGACCCGAGAGGGUGAUCGGCCACACUGGAACUGAGACACGGUCCAGAGUCCUACGGGAGGCAGAGGUAGGGAGUAUUGCGCAAUGGGCGAAAGCCUGACGGAGCGACGCCGCGUGUGUGAUGAAGGUCUUCGGGUCGUAAAACUCUCUUAUUAGGGAAGAACAGAUCUGUCAGUAUCUGGGCACAUCUUGACGGUACCGGAUCAGAAAGCGACGGCUAACUACGUG
rnacentral:rRNA from 1 species